AUGAUUGCGAAUGGCUACCUUUGGUGCUGGCUCUCGCGAGCAAGUGCACGCUGGUGGCUUUCAUCCACUACUACCCUUGUGAACCUUUGGCCUCUUGCUAGCUUCGGCUGGCAGAGGAUUUUUACACACACUCGAAUGUAAUGAAAACGUUUGUCGUGCGCAAGCACUAAUGUA
rnacentral:misc_RNA from 1 species